rnacentral:rRNA from 1 species
ACUUACGGCCAUACCAGCCUGGGUACGCCCGAUCUCGUCUGAUCUCGGAAGCUAAGCAGGGUCGGGCCUGGUUAGUACUUGGAUGGGAGACCGCCUGGGAAUGCCAGGUGCUGUAAGCA